UCGGCUCUUCUCAGGGGUAGAGCACAACCUUGCCAAGGUUGGGGUCGUGAGUUCGAAUCUCAUCGCCCGCUCCA
rnacentral:tRNA from 1 species